AUUGAACGCUGGCGGCAGGCCUAACACAUGCAAGUCGAGCGGAUGAAGGGAGCUUGCUCCUGGAUUCAGCGGCGGACGGGUGAGUAAUGCCUAGGAAUCUGCCUGGUAGUGGGGGAUAACGUCCGGAAACGGGCGCUAAUACCGCAUACGUCCUGAGGGAGAAAGUGGGGGAUCUUCGGACCUCACGCUAUCAGAUGAGCCUAGGUCGGAUUAGCUAGCUGGUGGGGUAAAGGCCUACCAAGGCGACGAUCCGUAACUGGUCUGAGAGGAUGAUCAGUCACACUGGAACUGAGACACGGUCCAGACUCCUACGGGAGGCAGCAGUGGCGAAUAUUGGACAAUGGGCGAAAGCCUGAUCCAGCCAUGCCGCGUGUGUGAAGAAGGUCUUCGGAUUGUAAAGCACUUUAAGUUGGGAGGAAGGGCAGUAAGUUAAUACCUUGCUGUUUUGACGUUACCAACAGAAUAAGCACCGGCUAACUUCGUG
rnacentral:rRNA from 1 species